rnacentral:rRNA from 1 species
AAGCAUCCUGUUAAGUCAGGCAACGAGCGAGACCCACGCCCACAGUUGCCAGCGUACUCUCUGGAGUGACGGGUACGACUGUGGGGACCGCCGCUGCUAAAGCGGAGGAAGGAAUGGGCAACGGUAGGUCAGUAUGCCCCGAAUAUCCCGGGCUACACGCGAGCUACAAUGGUUGGUACAAUGGGUAUCUACCCCGAAAGGGGACGGGAAUCUCCUAAAACCAAUCUUAGUUCGGAUUGAGGGCUGCAACUCGCCCUCAUGAAGCUGGAAUCCGUAGUAAUCGCGUUUCAACAGAACGCGGUGAAUACGUCCCUGCUCCUU